rnacentral:rRNA from 1 species
GGCUGCAACUCGCCUACAUGAAGUCGGAGUUGCUAGUAAUCGCGGAUCAGAAUGCCGCGGUGAAUGCGUUCCCGGGUCUUGUACACACCGCCCGUCACACCAUGGAAGUUGGGGGCGCCCGAAGUUGGUCGGGAAAUAGAUUACCUAAGGCGAAACCAAUGACUGGGGUGAAGUCGUAACAAGGUAUC